rnacentral:rRNA from 1 species
UACAGAGGGGGCCAGCGCUAUUCGGAAUUAUUGGGCGUAAAGGGCGCGUAGGCGGCUUUGCGUGUCUGUCGUGAAAUCCCUCGGCUCAACUGAGGACGUGCGGAAGAAACUGCAGGGCUGGAGUCCGGGAGAGGAGGGUGGAAUUCCCAGUGUAGCGGUGAAAUGCGUAGAUAUCGGGAGGAACACCUGUGGCGAAAGCGGCUCACUGGACCACAACUGACGCUGAGGCGCGAAAGCUAGGGGAGCAAACAGG